UUACUUUAGAUUUAUGGGCAUUAGCAGCACUAAAGCGUUAGCAUCCGGCUUGCUAUCGCUAGCACAGUAUGCUAGUAAAGUUAGCACCUAGAUUAAUGUGGAUUUGGCUGAUUUUCGUGGAAUAAAACGUGAUUUCUGAUCAACGCCUUCUUUUACACCAGAUGAUAACCUCCCACUGAUUGUAACAGCAGAGAGCCUGUGUGUUAUUCUACGUGAGUGUGAUGUAAUCUUAGCAUCCAGCAAAUAAAGUCCCAUAUCAGCUAAAAUGCAGCGUGACAAAGUCAUUAAAGUGCGUCAACACAGUGGAUUUAAUAGAGUUUUAAAGAACGAUCUCUGAGUGGAGUGAGGUUAGUUUUUUUGUCUCACUGCAGAUAUAAAAACUAACUCUGCAUCAGUCAGACGCAGCAAAGCUCACCGUCUGUAUGAGCGUGAGCGUCGGAAAGCUGAUAAAAUCGGCUGUAAAAUAAUUAAAACAAAAGUAAAAAUGCUCCUUUGCUUUUUAGAGUCAACAUCCAGAAGUCUGGAGCCGUGUUUCACUGACAGGCUGUCAGACUAACGCCCUGAUGAGCUCAGCAGGGACAAACUGGUCUGAUGUUUAGGAACACAGAACGUUCAGAUGUUGGCGUUUCACGUCACCUACUGAGGAAGGAGGCUCACCAGUAAAGAGAUGGUAGCUGGACCAGACCAAAAAUAUGGCGAUGACAUCAUGGAACUGGUCUUUGGAAAAGUUUUCCCUGAACCAACUCCGUUUCUAGAUGAGGUAGAGAAGAUCUGCAUCUCACCAACCCUCUGGUCUCAGUAUUCAGACAACGGAGGUCUCCCACUGUUAUCCAGGACCAGUUUGAAGCCCACAUACUGCCCCUCCCUCAUCAUCAGGAAACAUCAAUCCGUUUCCUGAGGACAACAGAAGACGGCAGGAGGACAGGAACUCUGUGACCUAGAUACCACCAGCACCGAGACACAAAGCACCUGUGUGCACAACGCCUGUUUAACUACUAAAGCCUGUUUAUUAUAUUGUUCUACUUAUUUGCUGUGAGGUUAAUACUUAGAAAAUUUGUAUAUUAAUGUAAACAAUAAAAAAAAUCACUGAUUGUAUGUUUUCUUUUAGAUGUAAUGGUCCAAACUCAGCCUUGUAGACAUUUAUUGCAUCCUGUAGGUAACAGGCUCAGAUCCAGGAUGACCCAGCAUGCUCUUCUUCCAUUCUGGCUGUUAGGGAUUUUAUCAAUAACUCAAUGCCUACUGAUGUUUUAACCUAACAGUAUUUAUUUAGAAUGCAGGUAAGAUUUAACUAUAUUUGUUAGCAAAGCAGACUGAUCUUGGGAAUUUCACUGCAGCACUGAUGUCCACCUCUCUGUACACAUUAGAGAGAAUUACCACUUUACAGCUAAACACAUUUAAUAAAGAUAUAGGCUAAACAUUGCAGACAAUAAAAACAAAGUUGUAAGCAUUAGAAUUAUAAUGAUCACAUUAAAGAACAUUUGGAGGAAUGUUCUUUAUUUUUGACUAGAAUCUCAAAUCUUUAAAUUAAAAUGUAACUGCUUUUUAUCCAUUUUCAGCCUUUAAGACACCCAAUAUAAAAUAAGAC